UACGUAGGGUGCGAGCGUUGUCCGGAAUUAUUGGGCGUAAAGGGCUCGUAGGCGGUUUGUCGCGUCGGGAGUGAAAAUCCAGGGCUUAACUCUGGACUGGCUUCCGAUACGGGCAGACUAGAGGUAUGCAGGGGAGAACGGAAUUCCUGGUGUAGCGGUGAAAUGCGCAGAUAUCAGGAGGAACACCAACGGCGAAGGCAGCUCGCUGGGACGGUACUGACGCUGAGACGCGAAAGCGUGGGGAGAAAACAGG
rnacentral:rRNA from 1 species